AUGUCCUACUGCCAGCAGGAAGGGAAGGAUGGAAUCAUAUUUGUGACCAAAGAUGACCACAAAACUCCAAGCAAUGUAGAGCUGGUGGCUGAUGACCCCAACAAUCCAUACACAGCAUGGAUUGAUGCUGCCAAAUGAAGACAUUAACUGGAACUGCUCGUGCCCUGGGGGAAUGGCCAGUGGCCCCUGUGGGGAACAGUUCAAGUUGGCCUUUUUCUGCUUCCACUAUAGUGCAGAGGAUCUCAAGGGGAAAGACUGUGUAGAUGAAUUCCGGGUCAUGCAGGAAUGCAUGUAGAAACACCUGGACCUCUAUCCCCAAGAGGAUGAGGAGGAAGAAGAGGAGAAGUCAGCAGAACAUAUAGAAGAAACUGCUCCCACUGAGGCCACUGCAACCAAAGAAGAGGUGCGGACAA
rnacentral:lncRNA from 1 species